rnacentral:tRNA from 1 species
CGGAGCAUGGCGUAGUGGUAUCGUGCAUGUUUUGGGUACAUGAGAUGGCAAGUUCGAUUCUUGCUGCUCCGA